rnacentral:lncRNA from 1 species
AGGACAGGAUUGGUCGGCGGAACUACUUCAAAUGAUUGAGUCGGAGUCUCAAAGAAUUCACCAUCCAUCUCGACGUAUCUGAAGGUAUGCACACUACUGACAAUAUACUCUUCUUCCCCACACACAGUGACAAUCUUGCCCUCCGUUGGAUACCUCAGCUUUUGAUGGAGAGAUGAAGCUACAGCACCUGCCCCAUGAAUCCAAGGGCGU